GAUGAACGCUGGCGUCGUGCCUAAUACAUGCAAGUCGAGCGAACAGAUGAGGAGCUUGCUCCUCUGACGUUAGCGGCGGACGGGUGAGUAACACGUGGAUAACCUACCUAUAAGACUGGGAUAACUUCGGGAAACCGGAGCUAAUACCGGAUAAUAUAUUGAACCGCAUGGUUCAAUAGUGAAAGACGGUUUUGCUGUCACUUAUAGAUGGAUCCGCGCCGCAUUAGCUAGUUGGUAAGGUAACGGCUUACCAAGGCAACGAUGCGUAGCCGACCUGAGAGGGUGAUCGGCCACACUGGAACUGAGACACGGUCCAGACUCCUACGGGAGGCAGCAGUAGGGAAUCUUCCGCAAUGGGCGAAAGCCUGACGUAGCAACGCCGCGUGAGUGAUGAAGGUCUUCGGAUCGUAAAACUCUGUUAUUAGGGAAGAACAAAUGUGUAAGUAACUAUGCACGUCUUGACGGUACCUAAUCAGAAAGCCACGGCUAACUACGUG
rnacentral:rRNA from 1 species